rnacentral:rRNA from 1 species
AUUGAACGCUGGCGGCAUGCUUUACACAUGCAAGUCGGACGAGUGGCGAACGGGUGAGUAACGCAUCGGAACGUCCCGAGGGAUGGGGGAUAACUGUCCGAAAGGACAGCUAAUACCGCAUAGUAUUCAAGAGGCCGAAGUCUGAUUAGCUGGUUGGCGGGGUAAAGGCCCACCAAGGCGACGAUCCGUAGCGGGUCUGAGAGGAUGAUCCGUCACCCUGGGACUGAGACACGGCCCAGACUCCGACGGGAGGCAUCAGUGGGGAAUGUUGGAAAAUGGGCGCAAGCCUGAUCCAGCCAUGCCGCGUGUCUGAAGAAGGCCUUCGGGUUGGAAAGGACUUUUGUCAGGGAAGCGGUACCUGAAGAAUAAGCACCGGCUAACUACGUGCCAGCAGCCGCGGUAAUAC